GAACAAAAGUAUCUUCAGAAAAGGAGCAAUCCUGUACAUGUAGUAACGGUUUUGAUGUCGAGUAUGACGUCAGUGCCUUUACAGGUGUCCGUAGACGUCGAUCCAGUGACACUGCGUCUCUUGGAACAACGGUUGGCGUCGCAGUCAGCAAUGACGGCAGUACAUACAGUGACUCAGCGUCCUCCGUGAAUAUAAUUCUGGACAGCACUUGCAUCACAAGCGAUGGAACAAACUUUGUGCUCGCCGCUGAAUACUGUCUCAUUGACGGCGUGUGCUAUGCUACUGCGAGCACAUCAAAUAAUGGUUGUUAUACCUGUGAUAUGGCCAACAGAUUUAAA